rnacentral:rRNA from 1 species
UCGGCAAGACCCGGUAUCAGGGUUGCGACCUAUCGAUUCGCUAGCCAUCAGUUUUGUAAUCAAUGAGCCCGUCCAACCUUGGAAUGCAAUGGACUGCCAGCCUAGAUACCGGAGGGGGGUGAAUUCAGGUGUAGCGUGAUGUAGGAUUCGAAGAAUCGUGGGGAUGCGGCUCCUUGACAGAUACUGACAUCAGAUGGGAAAGCGUGGGGAGCAAACAGGAUUAGAUACCUUGUAGUCACGCCGUAAACGAUGUCUACUUGGAGGUUGUGGCCUUGAGCCGUGGCUUUCGAAGCUAACGCGUUAAGUAGACCGCUGGGGAGUACGGUCGCAAGAUUAAAACUCAAAUGAAUUGACGGGGGCCCGCACAAGCGGUGGAGCAUGUGGUUUAAUUCGAUGCAACGCGAAGAACCUUUACCUACUCUUGACAUCCAGAGAACUUAGCAGAGAUGCUUUGGUGCCUUCGGGAACUCUGAGACAGGUGCUGCAUGGCUGUCGUCAGCUCGUGUUGUGAAAUGUUGGGUUAAGUCCCGCAACGAGCGCAACCCUUAUCCUUGUUUGCCAGCGAGUAAUGUCGGGAACUCCAGGGAGACUGCCGGUGAUAAACCGGAGGAAGGUGGGGACGACGUCAAGUCAUCAUGGCCCUUACGAGUAGGGCUACACACGUGCUACAAUGGCGCAUACAGAGGGCGGCCAACUUGCGAAAGUGAGCGAAUCCCAAAAAGUGCGUCGUAGUCCGGAUUGGAGUCUGCAACUCGACUCCAUGAAGUCGGAAUCGCUAGUAAUCGUGGAUCAGAAUGCCACGGUGAAUACGUUCCCGGGCCUUGUACACACCGCCCGUCACACCAUGGGAGGUGGGCUGCAAAAGAAGCAGGUAGUUUAACCUUGCGGAGGACGCUGCCAUGAGUCUGACCA